GAAGGUAUAGCUCAGUGGUAGAGUGCCUGCUUAGCAUGACAAGGUCCUGGAUUCAAUCCCCAGUACUUCCA
rnacentral:tRNA from 1 species